GAUGAAGAACGUAGUGAAACGCGAAAGGUAAUGCGAAUUGCAGAAUCAGUGAGUCAUCGAAUCUUUGAACGCACAUUGCGCCCCUUGGUAUUCCGGGGGGCACGCCUGUUCGAGCGCCAUUACACACCCCAAGCUAAGCUUGAUGUUGGGCGAUGUCUGUCACAGGACACGCCUGGAACGUAUGGGCGCCGCCGCCGGAUCACGAGUGUAGCAAGACGCAAGUCAUCGCUCGGUCGGUCCUGGCGGUUGGCCGCUGCGGCUCAUGGUAACACAUGGGCCAGUAACUUUUCACAAGUUUGGCCUCGAAUCAGGCGGGGAUACCCGCUGAACUUAAGCAUAUCAAUAAGCGGAGGA
rnacentral:misc_RNA from 1 species